ACGCUGGCGGCAGGCCUAACACAUGCAAGUCGAGCGGCAGCACAGGUACUUGUACCGGGUGGCGAGCGGCGGACGGGUGAGUAAUGCCUAGGAAUCUGCCUGGUAGUGGGGGAUAACGCUCGGAAACGGACGCUAAUACCGCAUACGUCCUACGGGAGAAAGCAGGGGACCUUCGGGCCUUGCGCUAUCAGAUGAGCCUAGGUCGGAUUAGCUAGUUGGUGGGGUAAUGGCUCACCAAGGCGACGAUCCGUAACUGGUCUGAGAGGAUGAUCAGUCACACUGGAACUGAGACACGGUCCAGACUCCUACGGGAGGCAGCAGUGGGGAAUAUUGGACAAUGGGCGAAAGCCUGAUCCAGCCAUGCCGCGUGUGUGAAGAAGGUCUUCGGAUUGUAAAGCACUUUAAGUUGGGAGGAAGGGCAUUUACCUAAUACGUGUAUGUUUUGACGUUACCGACAGAAUAAGCACCGGCUAACUCUGUGCCAGCAGCCGCGGUAAUACAGAGGGUGCAAGCGUUAAUCGGAAUUACUGGGCGUAAAGCGCGCGUAGGUGGUUUGUUAAGUUGAAUGUGAAAUCCCCGGGCUCAACCUGGGAACUGCAUCCAAAACUGGCAAGCUAGAGUAUGGUAGAGGGUGGUGGAAUUUCCUGUGUAGCGGUGAAAUGCGUAGAUAUAGGAAGGAACACCAGUGGCGAAGGCGACCACCUGGACUGAUACUGACACUGAGGUGCGAAAGCGUGGGGAGCAAAC
rnacentral:rRNA from 1 species